UCAGGGAGGAGGAAGUUCCUGUGUGUGUGUCUGUGUGAUCUUCAGUGUCUUACACCUCAGAGAACUGCGAGCCUCAACAGAGAACUGAACUGAUCUGAUUCAACAUGGACAGAUGCCUCAUACUUAUUCUCUUUGUGGGAACAGGAUUGGUGUCUGGAGACGACAUUGAGCCAGAUAAAAAUACAGAGACCUCCAAAGAAACAGACACGGUCAAGCUGAGCUGCUCAUAUAAUACAAAUAGUGACUAUGUUUUUCUUUACUGGUACAGACAGUAUCCAAACGGAGAACUGCAGUAUUUAUUACGCAAAGGUGCACGAUCAUAUAGUUAUGCACACACCACUGAUGAUCGGUUUCAGUCGGCUACAUCACGCACGUCCACUGAACUCACUAUUACUGAUGCACGUCUGUCAGAUUCAGCUCUCUAUUAUUGUGCUCUGAGAGAUGUAGCCCAGUGAUACAAAACAUGAAACAUGUCGUACAAAAACCUGAAGCUCUUUUCACUUUGAACAAAUCUGGAGAAAACCACAAUC